GAUGAACGCUGGCGGCGUGCCUAAUACAUGCAAGUCGAGCGAACAGAUGAGGAGCUUGCUCCUCUGACGUUAGCGGCGGACGGGUGAGUAACACGUGGAUAACCUACCUAUAAGACUGGGAUAACUUCGGGAAACCGGAGCUAAUACCGGAUAAUAUAUUGAACCGCAUGGUUCAAUAGUGAAAGACGGUUUUGCUGUCACUUAUAGAUGGAUCCGCGCCGCAUUAGCUAGUUGGUAAGGUAACGGCUUACCAAGGCAACGAUGCGUAGCCGACCUGAGAGGGUGAUAGGCCACACUGGAACUGAGACAAGGUCCAGACUCCUACGGGAGGCAGCAGUAGGGAAUCUUCCGCAAUGGGCGAAAGCCUGACGGAGCAACGCCGCGUGAGUGAUGAAGGUCUUCGGAUCGUAAAACUCUGUUAUUAGGGAAGAACAAAUGUGUAAGUAACUAUGCACGUCUUGACGGUACCUAAUCAGAAAGCCACGGCUAACUACGUG
rnacentral:rRNA from 1 species